UCCCAGCACAGCCCAGUCUGGAACUGGGAGCACUGGGAUCGCUCACCUGCUGCCUGGUGGGCAGGGGGGAGCCAGGCAGGCUGAGGGGCACCUUCUUCAGCACAAGUGACACUCUGCUCGCCUUCUCCAGCAGCUUCUUUGCCAGGUUGAUGCGUGUCCAACCCACCUGUCAAAGGCAACUGCACAGAAGAGGUUUAGGGGAUGGGAGAUUGCCUGGCUGCCUUCCCCGCACCAUGCCCAUCACUGUGGCCUUGUGGCUAUGCAGCCACCCACCGUCUGCAGCACCUCCACCAGCUGGACACAGAGCAGGACGAUGUCCCGAGUGGAUGAAAAGUCAUUCAGGGUGGAGAAGAGGUACCUGGAAGGGAGGUUUGAGAGCUCAGCACCAGGGCAAUGUGCGCACUGCACCCAUGCGUGCCCCUUGCCCACCCCAGACCUGUUGAGCCAGGAGAAGAGCCUCUUGGCGGCCCCGAUCAGGUCGACAACGCAGGCCAGCAGGGCGAUGGUGGGUGGCUGUGGGGUGGCCCCCCCAGGUGACCCCUCCAGCACCAGGGUCUUGGUGCGCUGUGCCAGCUCCCGCAGCCCCUCUGUCAGUGUCCGCAGGCUGGUGCUCCCCAGCUCUUUAUCCUGCAGUGAGGACGUGGCCAGGGGUAGCCAGGAUGCCCCCACAGGCUUUCCUUUUCAGCUCAGGGCAAUCUCAGUGUACCCCCUCCAUCCAGCCCAGAGUGUCCCUGUGUUCCCUACUCCAUCCAGCCCUGGGUAACCCCCCCAUGUCCUGUCCAGUCCAGGUGUCCCCCCUCCAACCAGCCUAUAGCGUCCCUGUGUCACCUUCUCAACCUCCAUGCAGCCCAGGGUAUCCCAGUGUCUCCCUCUUCAUGCAGCCAGGGUACCCCAGCGUCCUCCUCCAUCCAGCCCACGCUAUCUCCAUGUCCCCUUUCAACCUCUGUCCAUCUCAGAGUGUCCCCUUGUCCCAGCUCUAUUGAGAUCAAGGUGUCCCCUUUCCCCCUCCUCAACCUCCAACCAUCCCAGGAUGUACCCAUGUCCCCCUGCUCUAUCCAGCCCUGGGUAACUCUCCGUGUCUCACCCAGCCCAGGCGUCUCCAUGUCCCCCUUCAACCUCCGUCAAUCCCAGAGUGUCCUCAUGUCCCCUCUCCCUGCAGCCCACAGUAACCUGAUGUCCCCUUUCCAUCCAGCCCAUGUUGUCUCUGUGACCCCCCUCCAUCCAUCCCAGACCCCACCACCCAUUGCACUGUUGCUCACCAGGGCUUGGAGCUGCUCCACGGCCUCCAGCAGCAGCUCCUGGUGUCCCACGCGCCAUACUCCCAGCGUCUCCAGAGCCCCCUCUGACAGCUGCAGCAGCUCGGUGCCUGCCAGUCCCCACUCCUCAAAGGGGUACUCCUGCACGGCUGCAUCCAGCCCUGCUGAGAGCCAGGCACAUGGUGAGGGGGAGACCCUGCCACCCAUCUGCUGUCCCUUGGCUUGGAUGACUCCAUGGCGGUGGGUGACACCUGGUUUCAUCCAUGCAAUGAGCACACCAGGCCUCAGCGAGCACUGUGCUUGCAGUCCCCACCUCUUUCCCUUUGAAAUCCCUCAGGGUUUUGGGAAAAGGAAGAGCGAAGGCUGGGGAAUGGGCUGCCACCGCCACCACAGUGUUGCCCCGAAAGCGGGGAUGCAACCCUCCCACCAAGGGGCUGAGGUCCUCCCUGGGUGGGGGUCUUGGGGCGGGGGGGCUCUCACCUCGCAGCCAGGCCGCUGUUUGCGCAGGGCCCCAAGCGCCCACAGGCUCCAUGGCGGCGGGGCUGGAACCGCCCUCGUCACUGCUCACCUGCGCCAGGUGAGGGCGGCCCCAUUGGCGCACCUGAGUGCUGCUCACCGCAGCUUCCUGCCUCCUCUCCUCCCUCCCUCCCAGUACGGCUCUGUGGGGUGAGGCACCGCGACGCGCCCCAGUGACUCACACGCCAGACAAUGACAUGCAGCUAUCAAAACCCCUCACUGGGACAGUGCUCGCUGUGGGGAACUCCAUCCUCCACUCCCCCCUCCUGAAGCUGUGACUCCCCCUGCGUGAGAGCUGAGGCCCAGCACAACUCGCAACACCAACGCAGCCACACUGAUGGGGGAUUUUGGAGUCCCUCCUAAGCAUGAUUGCUUUGCAGUGGGGAAACUGAGGCAAGGUGUUGCCUCAACUCCAAGCAUGUCUUUAUCAAGCCUCAAACCCGCCCUUGUCCCCCACGAAACGCCUCCAUGCCCCCCCGCCGCGCUGUGUGCGCUUGGGGGAGCAGCGGGCGCUGAUUGCUGCUGACAGCCGCGCCGCGCGCCAGCCUUGUGCAGAGGGGCCGUGGGGCCUGAUCCUGCCACUUCCCUCCGCACCAUGAUCAUCCGCCCGCGCCGCCUGACCCCUGGGUAUUUCCGCCUGCUCCAGGUAAGGGGCUCACGGAGCUGGGAGGGGGCUCAUGGGGACCCCAAGAUCCUGCCCGCACGGCCUGAAGGCCAGAGAGAGCCCUAUCCUGGCUCAUGGGGACCCCAGGUCCCUGCCUGCAAGGCCUGCAGGCCACGGAGCUCACAGAGACUCCACAAUUCUGACCAUGCAGCCUGCAGGCCUUGGGGCUGCACUUGGCCCUGUCCUGGCCCCAAGCAGGCCGUGAUGGUGCUGGGGGGCACCCCAAUAGCACAUUGGCACCACCUGGGUGCGAUGGGGGCGCUCAGGGCAGACUUUAAGGCCACAUAUUUCCCCUGUUGGGGUUUUGGGGAUGAGGUCUGCCAUUGCCGCCUUCUUUGUCUCCUCCAGAUGCAGCUGGCGGCAGGGCGGGGGGCUGAGCCCAGGGAGCGAGCGCUGCCCUCCAUGGCCCUGCUGCUGGCGGCUGCUGGACUCUGCCUCUCCCUCUACAGUGCCCGGAGGAUGGCUGGGCCCCCCAAAGUUCCCCCACAGCCCUGAUGGGGCAUGGGGAUGGUCCCCAGGUCACCAUCUGAGCCUUGGGAUGGUGCCAUAGCUCCCUCCAGCCAGCCUACGCCACUGCCCCACCCUGCCCAUCCAUGCCUUGGAGCUAGGGGACGUACACCUGUCCCUGUUUUGGAGCCGUGAUGCCACCAGGAUGGGACAUAAAGUUGACUCAAGCCCCCAACAACAUGAAGAGACGCAGUAAGCAGGGCCCAGGGCCACCAACACAGCCCCAGGAUCCACCGGAGCCCCAGGACUGGGCACAAGACCAGAAGCUGGAGGAGCGGAUGGAGGAGCUGGGUGCCACGUCCACCCCCAUUAGAGGCAGAAAGGAGGUCAGCUCAGAGCGGUGUUAGGUAAUAGAGUGCUGGGACCAGGAACAGCCUCUGAAAUGUGUGGACAUGGGGCUGGCUCCUGCCCAAGGGUAAAGAGCAGGUCUGCUCUUCUGCCAGUAUGACCACAGCCUUCCCCUUCCCCACGCUCAUUGACCCUGAGCUGAGAGUGAGGCUGCUCCCCCCAGCUGGUUGGAUGCUGACAGCUGGAUUUGGUCGCUUUGAUCUCUGAAAGCAGGGGGGAACAAAUCCAGGCAGUGUGCAUGGAAAUAAAUCCUUUCCUUCUGAACAAA